rnacentral:lncRNA from 1 species
CUCAUAUUAAAUCACUGAAAUAUAAAAUUUCAACAUAAUGGUAAGCAAGUAAAAUCCAACAAAAACAGUACAGCACUGCACCGAAAGUACGGUGUUUCACCUAUGAAUUAUUGAUACAAACAAGAACAAGAAACACACAGGGUUCUAAAUGCACCUUGAGUUUAGGGGACUGAAAAACCAACCUUUACAGUCAUAGACUUAUUUGUUAAGUUAUUUCAAACAAAAUCUAUGGCUAUAAAGCUGUUGGACCAUGGGUGCACCCUGAACAUCAAGGUGCAUGUUAGACCAUAAACACUAGCACGCAGAAGAUAAAUUCAUAUUUAUAUAUAGGAGGUAUAACAGUAAUGGAAGGUACACUUCUGUGAGUGAUUCCCAGUAAUGGAAGGUACACUUCUUAAUUUUUUCAUUAUUGAUCUUUAUAUAAUGGUAGAACUUCCUGCGAAAAUGAUUCCCAGUAAUGGAAGGUACACUUCUGUGAGUGAUUUAGCAGAACUGACAAGCAUAAAAGUGGCCCAAAACAUUAGCAUUGAACCCUGCAUCCUAGAGAAUGGUGCACCAUUAACA